ensembl:snRNA U6 U6 spliceosomal RNA
GUGCUUGCUUCAGCAGCACAUACACUAAAAUUGGAAUGAUACAAAGAAGAUUAGCAUGGCCUCUGCUCAGGGAUGACAUGCAAAUCUGUGAAGUGCUCCCUAUUUUU